rnacentral:tRNA from 1 species
GCCCGGGUGGCGGAAUGGCAGACGCGAUGGACUCAAAAUCCAUUGAUCGUAAGGUCGUGGGAGUUCGACUCUCCCCUCGGGCA